GUCAUACUACGGCGCAAUAAGGUCUAAAGUAAACGAUGAUCCCUAUGGAACUCUGAGUUAAAAUACGUAUCAAAAUGCAAAACCGCUUCCGGCCUGGAAAUUUUCUUCCGGGGCUGGUUACUUU
rfam:Brenneria goodwinii strain OBR1 genome assembly, contig: Contig